rnacentral:lncRNA from 1 species
GAGUUUUUCUCUACCUAGGAGGGAAAGACUGGGUUUUUCCAACACAGACUCCCAGCAGGCUACUGCUCUGCCAGGUGGUGAGCUCUGUGCAAGAGAACAGGAACUGGAGAGCUGGGGGAGCUGGUCACGUUAGCUUCAUAGUUAGGUAAAAAGUUUGUUUUAGGUGCCAUGCCUCUUCAAUACUUGGGCUCCCUUUUCUGGAGAAACAAGAGGACCACAUGGUUCUGGUGGCUUUCGAGGACACAUUCAUUUUCUGUGUGUGUGUUUUCGUCGACAUAUGUCUCCAUCACAAACUUGGCUCUGCUGACACAAAUCUUAACUGCUGUCCUUCCAACCGCUCAUCGGUGUGAUGAAUACAAAGACAGUGACUCUUCCCUGGGUUAGCCCCUGCCCCAUGGGUGCUGCAGAUGAAGUGGACUCUUACCCACACUGCUGGGCCCGUCAUAGCUCCCCAGGGGCUGUUACAGGCUGGGACAACCUUUUUGUGAGAGCUCUGCGUCUCGUCCUAGAUGGGAAGACCUGGGUGCCUUUUGGCUUCCUCGCUCUUGUCACUCCAGAUUUUACUAUCAUUCUUUCCCAAUCCUCAGAGUGCCAGGAAGACCCUUCUUCCUGCAUUUAACGAGCCCCUGGUUCUUGGGCAUCCCUAGGGUCCUGGAAAUUUUCCUGGGCUCUAGUGUGGGCUUGAGUCACAGCUUUGCUGUACCACAUGUUUCCAUUGCUGGGAAGGAAAAGAAAGAAAAACAGCCCCAGAAAAGGAGAGGGAAUUUCUAUUUGGCAGUGUAGCUUUUUUUAAAUUGUAUUCAUUGAUCAGCCUGAAGUACAUAAAACAAACAAAUAUACCCACACAGACACUUCACCUCGUGAAAUUGAAGUUACCACAAAUAACUCUCACAUUCCAUACGCAAGAAGUUCACGUAACAGUAGCACAGCCUUCUCAGAGCAAAUGUGUGUGUGUCUCAUUAGAGACCCUGAGUUACAUUUCAUAGUACAUUUUGGUUGUCAGCCUUUAUGAACCCGCUGCCCAUCCUCUUUCCUAAUUUCUGUGGAAGGAAGGUAAGUGGGGUACUGUGGGCUGAUGGGAGAGUGCUGGGAGUAUGGAUUCAGUGGGCACAAAAAGAGCCAUCACUGUGUGUGGCUCGCCCUUUGGACUUAAACAUCUAGAAAUCCACCUGAGAACAGAGGCAUCAUUUCCUGACUACAAAUGAUUGAUUCUAGGAACCCUUUGUUACGUGAGUGCUUAGAUAUCCAAUUUUAUAGUUAUUACACAAUUACACAUGCACACACCUACGGAAAGAUAAUCUAUUACUUGAUGAAAAAAUAAUCUUAGUUAUACCAAAGAGGUAUCAUAUAACUUGUGCUUAUUACCUUAAGCUGAUAAAUAUCCUUCCAAUUUAUGAAUAAGUUUGAUCACACAAUAAUUUGCUGCAGUUAACUCUCUUAGAAGUCACCAAAAGAAUCUUUAAAGUCUUACUGAACAGAUAAAACAACUUUACUCUUCAUAAGUCAAACAAAGACCUUUUUCUGGAGCUGGGACGGAAAUUCAAGUCUGCUACUUGAUUGUCUCCUAUCAUCAAAUAAUGUAGGGACAAAUUAAGAAACACACGGAAGCACAUGAACAAAGAGAGCAGGCAUACUGGGAAGUUAGUUAUUUAUUUACUUUGUAAUUACAAACACUUAUAUAGCAGUUAUGAAGUGUCAGGCAUGGUUCCAUUUAAAAUAUUGACUCUUGAAUAGUUUAAUAGUUCAAAUGCGGCAGAAACAAUAGAUAUCUGUAGGAUCUGACACAAAAAAGAGCAUCACUAGCAUGUCUGAACAUGGAAUUACUGUGAGCAGUGGGUCAACCUGUAGCUCUGCAUUCUGUCCAGACAUUCUUACAGCACGUUCCCAGUGGAUCACUUCUCACCGAUACAGUCUGUGCGCUCACCACUUCUCAAGGUGCUAAGCAUUGCAACCCUACUUUCCUGUUCUGAUCAAGGUUUUCCUUUUCUCUGCACCUUCUAACAGUUCUUUAACAUCCUAACCAUGACUCAAAAUCCAAUUCUAUAAAUGCCUCCUUUAAAAGAAUUUCAGAGAACCUUGCAAAGUCGAUAUGUCCACAUGCAUCAUUCCACUUCUAGUAAACCUCUUUUAGCAUUCGUUUGGUAGCAGAAUCAUCUAUAGCUAUGUCUUACUUUUGUCCUGGAUCGCAGAGUUUUGGAGAGCAGGAACUACUUUGGAAAGAUACAAGCAAAAUGGAGGAAUUUUGAGAUUCUGUGGGCCCAGGCAUACCUCUUCCAGAAAAGGCCUAUGUAGGGUUUGAGCCAUGUGACUUACUUGCCUAAGGUCAUAUGUCUAGUUUGUGGCACAGGUAGGCCUAUCACAAAGUCUCUUGACUCUCAGUCCUGUGUUCUUGACCCCACAGAGCUCAACACAAUUUUGACCUGAUUGUCCUUCUAUGAUAAGGAUGGCCUUCCAGUAAGCCAAUGAGUAGAUACUGGGCACUCAAAUAUGCCUAGCGUAGCAAACAUAGGACUAAGGAAGAAAUAAGGGAAAACUAAAAAGAACCUAUAAUGUACUUAUUAAUAGGCCACCAAAUAGAAGUUUUUAGCCUUCAUCCUUAUAAUAAAGUACCAUUUUGAAGAAAUAUCCUAGUACUUUUCCUCAUUUAUGAACUGUAGAUGAUACAGGCUGUCACUAGAUCUGAACAAAACACAUGUGUUCACUUUAGUAUCAUAAAUCUCAUCUUCACUGUGCUAUAUUUUGCUUAUGACUCGUUUACGAGUUGUGCAUCUAUGUUCAUGAAGGAGAUUGUGGUUUUUCUUGAAAUGUGAGGUUCCUGGUCUCGUUAACAGCAAUGCCACAUCCUCCACUGCAGUCUCCGAGUUUGCCCAUUUCUUUGGUUCCAGCCUUCUCUGCUAGGAAGCACAAUGCUGAUGUCUGCAUUGGAACGUGCGGUAUAUUCCAGCAAGGUGGAGGCAAUGAAAGAGCAUGAGAGAAAUCCACCAGUGCUUCAGAUAAAGAAAUGAAAAUUCUUGGGGAAAUGCAAAUGGACACAAAAGCCAUUAAAGAGAGUUGAGUUCCUGAAGGCAAGGUUGUUUUCACAUUCAAAAGAAUUAACCAUUAUUACAGAUCAUGUUAACAGAAUGAAUGAGAAAAUCCAAUGAUCAUCGCAGCCUUGAAGAAACAGUUGGUGCAAUUCAAUAUUUUAGACGACUUAUUUUCCCACUGCAUCAUAUUCUUGACAAUCUUAAUUUAGCUUUCUUAUAUUUCACCAACUUUAAAGCUAACCCUGUUCGGUACUUGUUCUAGACCUCCGUGUCCAUUUCUUGUGAAGACCUUAGGCAUCUUUUUGAAGACGCCCCACCAUAGAUUUCCUGAAGAUUCUCUGGGUGAGUACAGAAGUCACUAUCUUCUAGGGAAGAGUGUAAGGAAAUGGGGCCUCAAUCAGGCAUUCCCAGGGAGGCCAGCUGUUGGACAGUCUCUGUGGCGCAGCCUGGGACCUCACGGUACUGCUGAGGAAAGCAGAAACGAAAGGAACACCACUCGGGUGGCCGGCAGCUACUCAGAGCAAGGGUCUCAGCAGCUGCCUCCUGGGAUCUGCAGACCAGAGGGGGAGCCAUUCCUCCAAAUGGGGACCAAGGGCUGGGAGCCAUGACUGUGAUCAGUGAGUCCCGCUUUCAGGCACUUCCGCACAAGAGUUCUGGGUCUGUUAGGGCCUCCUCACAGCCAGCUGCCCAGGUCAGGGACUGACAUGACUCAGGCCUCACGCGUGUUCCCUGAAUUGGCCUGCCUGCCAGCUCAGAGAGAGGAUGAGGAGCGAAUGUGUUUUAAAAUGAAAAUCAAUCGGAAAGCUCUUCCAGGAAACCUGACCCAACUGGAAUAGUGUCAAUAGUAGAGGGGAACCCCUGGUAUUAAAUAAAGACCGCCCACCCCAAAUUUAGGGAAAUUGGAUUGUUUCCCUGACAUACACGAUGAUUUCUAUCUCUGUCAUAGCAGAAGACAGAAGUACAGGAAUUGCCUGCUGCUCCGAUAUUAAGACGAGUUUCAGAAAGGUUCCCUUUGCUCUUCUAUUCAGUAGAGAAGCGAUAGGAAGGCCAGGAACACACUGACACUUUCUUGCUCUGUUGGGAUUCAUUGGAUUCCGUUACCAUUUAAUCUAGUGAUUCUGCGCUAGUAUUCAAAUGAGAAACUGAAGUUGUCUGUUCAUUCACAAAUAAUUUGAGUCCACAGCGACGAUGAGUUUCUUCUUAAUUCAAGUGGAAAUCCAGUUCAUUCAGGGGACCUGCUCCAUAGGUGUGGCUCUCUGUCUACUUAAUGUUCUCUGGAGACGAAGAACAAAGAGCUUGUGACAGGUUAAAGGUCAGGGGUCUCCUGUCCAGAUACGUUCUGAUGGUGUUUUAUUAAAUGUGGUGAUACCUGUCCCUCCCACGUCCUCGGCACCUGUCGUGCGUUAGGUAACGGCAUUUUUUUCCUGAGGAAAUGGCUCAAUCUAAGAUAUGGUGUUAGGGUUACUCUCUCUGCCUGUUUCAGCCUUUCAACCUCUAAUGCGUGUUGCAUUCUUUCUAAGUUCCUGGAGGCGGGCCCAUUUUCAAACCUUCGUUACUCAUUGCCAUUGAUAUUUACUGUGCAGAAAAAUUUAGGUUCACACAAAAACCUUCACCAGAAGUUCAUAGCAGCUUUACGCAUAGGGGACAAAAUUAUAAAAACCAAAAACUGUCCUUCAGUAGGUAAGUGGUUAAACUCUGGUGGCACUUUGUCUCCUUCUCCCAGGUCCCACCCUACGUGCACAGUGUCCCAUCAUCAGAUCCUGCCGCCACACACUCACCCCCCGGCUCCAUUCCCCAGGAGGAGAAGGCAGGUGCAGGAGAGCAGGGCCCUGUGCUCCUCUGGGCAGAGGGGACAGGCCCGCAGCAGCCUCUGUGCUCCCCAACCGCCCACCCUCAGAGGCUGGAGCUCAGUCGUGGUCGUCGCUGCUGUUCCAGACUGUGACAAGGACAGAGGGAGGGCGACGCUGGGCUGAGGGGGUUGCGCAGGCCCAUCUCCAUGGCAGCUUCAGCAGGGACAGAAGAAGCUCCUGGGGCAGCGUCAUCUAUUCCCACCAAGAGCUCGGGGUGCAGGGCAAGCUUUCCCUCUCCGGACUCAGGGCCAGCACUGCCCCACACUCCCCUCCCCGCCCUGUGACCUGUGAAUCUGUCUCUACACUUCCUGGAGCCUCUGCAAACCCCCUCCCUACAGCCCCAGAAGCUCAAGGGCCAGAGAACGCAGGAGAGGACGGGUGGGGCCCAUCCUGGGCUGGGGUCUAGAGGUUUUGCUCCUCUGGAAAUAUCCUAAAGCUUCCAUUUGUUUUUGUAAGGAUGGCGUGAUGGGUACUUCGCGUGCAAUGAGGGAGUUGGGGUCAGGGCGCGUGAGCCACGCUGCAGUCAGCCUCCCCGCAUGGCCCUGUCCCUUCUGGAAGCCACAGCAGACACUCAGGGAGGGCGGAGCCUGACCCUGCUUCUACCCCUAGCAGGGCAAGACGGAGGCCACCAGGUCUCAGGAGAAAAAACAUGUAUUUGGGGAAAAUUGGGGUUGGAAGUCACCAUCACCACAGAGGGUGAGGUAAGGAGAAAAACUAGAAGUCCUUGGCGAACCCUCAGUCUCUCUCCCAGUGCCCAGACAAAGGAUGAUACUGUCGAUGGCGCCUGAACAGCCCUGCCAUCCGACGCCGAGCUGCGUGUGACCCGUGCCUGGCUCUGGGCGGUGGCUGACGCGGGCUUGCCUUUGCAAGGGGCUCCUCUGGUGCUUCCUCCUUCUUGGGCCUCAGGCAGGGCAGGAAGCGUCUCAACAUUUUUCUGAAAGGGCUGACGUGAAAAACCUCUUCUUUUUCAGGCAGGGCCUGGAGGGGUUUGGUCCCGAGGGCGUCUCCUGUUCCUCCGACCUGGCUCCAAGACUGGGACCCUGACUCGCCCUCCAGUGUUGCCACCCCACGGCAGGGCUCUGGUGACGCCCCACCUCCACUCUCUUUCAGAGGCUCGUUCCUGGCCAUUGCUGACCCUGGACUCAGGUGUAGACGGCCUUGCUUGGCCCCCACGACCGUCCCGCUCUGCCCAUUUCUGUCCGAGAGGCUGAAUGCGAAGCUCGGAGAAGGCGGCCGGCCCUGCUGUCCCAUCAGAGAGGCCUCAGAGGGCCCACAGCCAUUGCCAGGCCUUCGUUUGUGUUCUUUUCCUGAUUUCCAUCUUGAGCAGCUUUGGCGCAUCAGGGUUGGCAACUGAGGGGCUAUCCGUCUCUCCCUCCCUAUGUGUGGGGCCUCCCCGGAAUGAGGCUACUGGUCGGUGGCAGGACAGGUGCCCUUGCUGGGACUGGAGGUGUGCUGACCCGGGGAAGAACAAGACCUUGAUCAUGUUCCACCGGGAGAGGAACUCGACGCGCCAGCUCAUGCGGCCGUGGCCUGAGUUGGGAAAUGGCCAACAGGAGUGAGCUGGAGCUGUGCUCAUGGCAGUAGUGUCCAGUGGGAUUCCGGUCAAGUCAGCUGGAGGUUCUGCUGGCAGGGUGGAGGCCAGAGGUAUAGGGGUGUGGGUCAGAGGACUCAGGGAAUGUGCUGGAGUCACGGUGAGAGUAGCACCUGCCACAGGCUUUCCGCAUGGCUGCUGGGCUCUGGCGUAUGCUGUGUUGCUCGCCUCCCCAGGGUAGUCUUGACAUGAUGAGCGAUGGGAGCAUCCCUUGGAAGACAGCCUCCCUGGGGAGCUGCGGGAGACAGGAGGCACCAGCUGCAGCCGGGAGCAGAGGGGCCCGGGACAGCAGGGCAGUCCAGGCGGGGGUGGCCCCUUGGGAGCCAUGGCCCUCCAUGGCCCCACCUCCACUUCACCAAAUUCUCCUGCUCUCCCUCACCGCAGGCCUUUGGCCACCCCUGUCCCCAUGGCUCCCCUCCCAGCUCUGCCCCAAUCUGCCUGCAGCCCUGGGGCCACACCAGAGACUCUGGGAGCAAGAAGUCCGGGAGAGAAGGGCAAGAUCCCUUACCUGUGCGAAAGCGACACCUGGCCCCGCACUUCUGCCAGGCCCUUCCCAGCAGCUCUGGAAGCUAGAAAUCCGGAGACUGGGUCACAGCACUGAAAGCGGGGCGGGGGCGGCGGGGGCGGUGGAUAGGGCUCUUACAGGAGGCUGCGUGCACUGUGCCUUUAGGGGAGUCUGUUGGGAGGUCAGACUGUCGAACCUGGGCACCAGUGUCCAAGGCCACCGGAUCCCUGAUGGGGCUGGCAAGGCUGCUGAUGGGUUGAGCUAUGUCAUUGACCACGCGCUUCCACCUCCACCACAGCCCACAUGCCCCGGCUGGACGAGACCCUGUUCCAGGCCCCUCCUGGCCCGGGCCCUGGUUCCCAGCACAGAAUGUGGCAAGUCCUCAGGUUUUCGUCUCCCUCCCGCAAACCUCCCUGAGUGUUCUGUUUCCUGAGGGACGGGUUCUGCCCCUGGCAUCCUCGAGCCCGUGGAGCUGGGCACUCAGGGACAGGAGAUGGGGGGGCCAGCUCUGGGGCACGGGGCUGAAUGGCAGGAGCUUACCUUUCAAAGCUCCCCUUUUCUUCCUGCUCCUGCUGCUCUUCCCUCUUGGCUCCACUUGACGCUGAAGUGAGAGAAAAAAGAAGCAGCUGUGGGGGCUCCCUCUCCUGUCUCUGGACCAGCCGUGGACACUUAGCGCUUAUGAGGAAGAUGACUGCCUACACUCAGCUCCUGGCGCCCGGGGGUGUUUCUUUCCUUUUACUCAUUUUUGAAGUGGAGACUAGAACAUGAAACGGAUCUUUGGUGUCUUCCUUCUUUGGAGAACGUGAGGAAGGAUGAUUUUCUGUGUGAGACCCACCAUGGAUUUCUUUCAUCACUGUUCCUCUGUUCAAGAAUCACGCACAUUCGCAGACGUCCAGAAGCUUCUGAGCUUCCUCAGGGAGGACUCUGCUUCCCGAGGCCCGAGCCCCACUCCAGACCCUGCCUGGAGGCUCUCGGGGGCUCAGCACUGCCCUCAGAUCAGUCCCGACAGAGGAAAGGCCUGCUCAAGACGCCUGCCCCAGGAAGGCGGUGGGGGAACCAGAGCUCAAGACCUGUCCUCCCACACAGAUCCCACUCAGCAUCCCUUCCUCAGCCUCUGGUCACUGGACUGGGGACUUUCCCUGGAGCCCUCUACCACACCUGGACUCCUGCUCUGAGAUCUUCCGAGGGAAAUCCUCGUGCCCUCUCUAAUCCCUGCUCGCCCAGCCUGGCUUGUCCGUGGAAGGAUGAUGUUGUAUUCUCUGCCAGUUCCGGAGUCCCUCUACUUUGAUUCAGAAUCUUGGAAAUGACAGUGGAACAGAAGAGAGACUCAUCUUCUGGUGGGUCUCUGCCCAGGGUUUCUUACCUUCCUUAUGUUUCUGCGUUCACAAGGUGGUCGUGAGGAUGGAUUCCUCUGCAGGGAGGGAAGGCACAGGAGGAAGAGCCCCAGUCCACACAGGAAGGGGAGGAUGGUCCCAAUCACCCAGGAAGUGGAACUGGAGCUCGGCCAGGUAGCAAAGAGGCUUUUCAGAAACAUGAGAGGAUUCUGCAUGUCUGAAACGCAGUGCUGCCCUCAGGCGACUGAGCUCUGGGAGUGGCUUGGAGAUUAUUACCCCAGGCCCCCAUGACAGAAGUGCGGCCUUGUCACAAAGGGCUCUUGAGGGCUGGGGAGGGGACAGCAGGGGAGCAGGCUGGACCAGAGCCCCUCCCCCACCCUCUAGCCUACGUCUCCCUCCCUCUACCCUCCUGGGCCUUCUAGACCUUAGCUAGUUUUCUAUGUCUUCCCCCUGGAAGCCAGAGGUCACCGGGUUCCUUGCGUCUCCUGGAUUCUUGGUUUGAAGCCAGCUAUCUCAUGGCCUUCGAAAGUCUGAAGUUCUCCCAGGAAUUUGAUCUAGUUCCCAGGGAUUCAUACCCUGAUCCUGCUCUGUCCUCAACUCUGAUUGCUGUUUUCACCUCACCUAGUGACUUUGCGUGUGUGUGUG